GAUGAACGCUAGCGGCAGGCCUAAUACAUGCAAGUCGAACGGUGUCUUCGGACAUAGUGGCGCACGGGUGCGUAACACGUAUGCAACCUACCUUACAUUGGGGGAUAGCCUUUCGAAAGGGAGAUUAAUACCGCAUAAGUCAGUAGCUGGGCAUCCAGCAGCUGUUAAAGAUUUAUCGAUGUAAGCUGGGCAUGCGUCCAAUUAGCUAGUUGGUGAGGUAACGGCUCACCAAGGCAAUGAUUGGUAGGGGACCUGAGAGGUCAAUCCCCCACACGGGCACUGAGAGACGGGCCAGACUCCUACGGGAGGCAGCAGUAGGGAAUAUUGGGCAAUGGCCGAAAGUCUGACCCAGCCAUGCCGCGUGCAGGAUGAAGGCGUUAUGCGUUGUAAACUGCCUUUAUACAGGAAGAAACGACUCUUGCGAGAGGCAUUGACGGCACUGUAUGAAUAAGCACCGGCUAACUCCGUGCCAGCCGCCGCCGUAAGAC
rnacentral:rRNA from 1 species